UGGAGGGAGCUCUCACGGGGCCACCUCGUGUUACAAUCCUUCCUUUAUGAAAAUUUCUGACAGACUGAGAAAAUGAACGUGACCACAAGGGAAAGUGAAUCCUACUGAUUUCUGGAAUGUUCCGGACCUCCAGUAAUUUAGCCUUAGGCCACUGGGAAGAAGCAAGACGCCCUCUUCUGGUGUAUCUGUGUAGAAGAAACUCCUACAAAGACCAGUGAUUCACAAGAAAUGGACACAUUGCACAACUCUUGCCAGUGAGGUGAAGUCUGGAACUUGUGGGAAAGUUCUUCUUUCCCUUCAGAAAAAAUGGAAAUAAGAAAAGCACCUAUUUUCCUGUCUCUGAAUGUCAUUAUGAGAGGCUGUAAUCCUGGGAACAGCCAUCUUGUGACCUUGAAGAAGGAAAAGUCAAGAUUAUUCCAGGAUAGCUGACAUCAUUGAGCUGUUAUCUGGACUUCAGUGGAAUUACUCAACACCCAGACUUCCUGUUAGGCCAACAGUUCGAGGUUCCUGAGCUCUGUCUGACGGAAGUGGAAUAUUCCUCAUCCUACGCACAAACUUCCUGGUUGUACAGCAAGUUGAGUAGCCCUGAUCUGAAAUGCGUGUCACCAGAAGAGUUUUAGAUUUCAGAUUUUUUUCAGACUUUCGUACAUUUGCACAGACAUUUAGAGGUAUUUUGGCAAUGAGGCCCAUGCUUAAAUAUGAAACUCCUUUAUGUUAUUCAUGCACCUUAGGCACGUAGCCCGAGCAUAAUUUCAUGCAAUAUUAUAUUUAAUUUUGUGCAUCAAAGAAAGUUAUGUGGUAUGGGAUUUUUCACUUGUGCCAUCAUGUCAACACUCAAAAAGAUUUGGAUUUUGGAGCAUUUUAAAUUUUGGAUUUCUGGAUUUGUAUUAUAUUCCACAGACUUUCUCUGGGUUCCUAACAUAGUCAAAACAUCUAUGUCUGUGGUGAC
rnacentral:lncRNA from 1 species